CAGUAGCCGCGGGAACACGUAGGGUGCAAGCGUUAAUCGGAAUUACUGGGCGUAAAGCGUGCGCAGGCGGUUAUAUAAGUCAGAUGUGAAAUCCCCGGGCUCAACCUGGGAACUGCAUUUGAGACUGUAUGGCUAGAGUGUGUCAGAGGGGGGUAGAAUUCCACGUGUAGCAGUGAAAUGCGUAGAUAUGUGGAGGAAUACCGAUGGCGAAGGCAGCCCCCUGGGAUAACACUGACGCUCAUGCACGAAAGCGUGGGGAGCAAACAGGAUUAGAUACCCGCGUAGUCCCUGUCUCUUAUAC
rnacentral:rRNA from 1 species